GGUUAGGUGCCGUCGGGUGGGGGCCGAGCCACCAUCACGGUGGCUGUGAGGAGGGUCUUCCGUGGAUGAAUGGAGGAAGGGGGAGGGGACCCAGUGUCGGUUUUUGGGGGAGGAAGAAGAAGAAGGAGAAGAAGAAACUUCUUCUUCUCUCCCACUCUUGAUCGGCCACCAUCGCCGGCGACUGCAACAUAAACGGCUGGCGAUGGUUCGACCAGUGGUGUUGUCGGGUUGGGGGAAGGAGAGGGCACAGCCACCAUGGCUGUUGCCCUUGGACCAAAAAGGAUUUGAGGGAGGGUGAUGUACUCCCAACCAUGAAGAGAGAGAAAUCAUCCCUUUCUUUUGGUCUCUUCACCGGGACCGGCCAUCAUCGCCGGCGUGGCAGCGGCCACGGCUGGCGACGACAUAGACCGGUGGUACAAGGGUGGGAGUCGGGCCACCCCGACUGCCCUAGAUUUGGAGGGAUUGAGAUGUUUGGGGACCUGGUGAUGGACCCCAUAGUAGAUAUGAAUUAUGGUUUAAAAUAUUUAAAUAUUAAAUAAUUUAGUUGUGAUUUAUAAUUGAUGUUGUAGAGGAAGAGUCGGCGGUGCCAGGAGAUAUUGAUCAGGGGACUCAGCACCCCAGCGCGUAGGUUGUGAUUCGGAUUUGUACUUGUGUCAGUCUACA
rnacentral:lncRNA from 1 species